rnacentral:rRNA from 1 species
ACAUCUGCCUCAGCGUCGGAG